CUGUCGUGAACUAUAGGUAUAAAAAUAAUUACGAGACGCAUUAAACAUGAAUAAAUUUUAAAGACAAAUCGGAAAAUUCCACCAAACAGCAUAAUUAUUAUAAAUUACAGAGUCAACUAAAACGUGUUCUACGAGUACGUGACAUAGAUAAUAUUUUUAUGACACAGCAUUUUGCUAACCCAAAAAUAGUUCACUUCUUUGACCUUUUGAGUUCUACCUUUGGACGCCACUCUCAAUUGAUUAAAAAACUACAUAUUUGAUUUUAUGAUGAGUAUUUCCAAUCAGGUUUGUAAUACCCUCUUUAUAUUUCCUCUGGAUAAUUAAUUACCUAGGUAUACUAGUCUGUUCUUCGCAGACCUGGUGUAUUAUUGCACCUAAUUGAUAUAAAACAUCUAUUAGUAUUAAUUAGUUAGAUAACUACAUACCAGUGUCUCUCCCUCGCAGACUUGAUGCAGAUUCUCCGGUUUGACCAGCAGAAGGUUGCACAGUGCGUGCAAGGUGUCAAACAAGGCGUGCGCAG